GUCUUAUUGAUUAAUAAUUUUAAGUCUUGCCUGCCCUCUGUUUAUAUAAAUGGCCGCAGUAUUUUGACUGUGCUAAGGUAGCAUAAUCAUUAGUUUUUUAAUUGAAAGCUAGAAUGAAUGGUGGUAUGAAAAAAUAACUGUCUCUUUUAUAUAAUUAAAAUUUUAUUUUUAAGUAAAAAAGCUUAAAUAAAAUUAAAAGACGAGAAGACCCUAUAGAAUUUUAUUUAAAUUAGUUUUUAAUUUAUUAGUAAUUAAAAUUUAAAAAAUUAAUUUAUAUUUAAUUGGGGUGAUUAGAAAAUUUGUUAAUCUUUUCUUUAUAAACCCAUUAAUAUAUGAUUAUAUGAUUCAUUUUUAUGAUUUAAGAAUUAAUUACCUUAGGGAUAACAGCGUAAUUUUUUUUUUAAGUUCAAAUUAAAAAGAAAGAUUGCGACCUCGAUGUUGGAUUAAAUUAAUUUUUUGGUGUAGAAGCUAAAAUAUUAAGUCUGUUCGACUUUUAAAAUUU
rnacentral:rRNA from 1 species